rnacentral:rRNA from 1 species
GAUGAACGCUAGCUACAGGCUUAACACAUGCAAGUUGAGGGGCAGCAUGGUCUUAGCUUGCUAAGGCCGAUGGCGACCGGCGCACGGGUGAGUAACACGUAUCCAACCUGCCGUCUACUCUUGGACAGCCUUCUGAAAGGAAGAUUAAUACAAGAUGGCAUCAUGAGUCCGCAUGUUCACAUGAUUAAAGGUAUUCCGGUAGACGAUGGGGAUGCGUUCCAUUAGAUAGUAGGCGGGUAACGGCCCACCUAGUCUUCGAUGGAUAGGGGUUCUGAGAGGAAGGUCCCCCANAUUGGAACUGAGACACGGUCCAAACUCCUACGGGAGCAGCAGUGAGGAAUAUUGGUCAAUGGUCGGCAGACUGAACCAGCCAAGUCGCGUGAGGGAAGACGGCCUACGGGUUGUAAACCUCUUUUGUCGGAGAGUAAAGUACGCUACGUGUAGUGUAUUGCAAGUAUCCGAAAGAAAAAGCAUCGGACUAACUCCGUGCCAG